CCUACGGGUGGCAGCAGUGAGGAAUAUUGGUCAAUGGGCGCAAGCCUGAACCAGCCAAGUAGCGUGAAGGAUGACGGCCCUACGGGUUGUAAACUUCUUUUAUAAAGGAAUAACGUGAGUCACGUGUGCCUCUUUGCAUGUACUUUAUGAAUAAGGAUCGGCUAAUUCCGUGCCAGCAGCCGCGGUAAUACGGAGGAUCCGAGCGUUAUCCGGAUUUAUUGGGUUUAAAGGGAGCGUAGGCGGGUUGUUAAGUCAGUUGUGAAAGUUUGCGGCUCAACCGGAAAAUUGCAAUGGAUACUGGCAGUCUUGAGUACAGGUGAGGUAGGCGGAAUUCGUGGUGUAGCGGUGAAAUGCUUAGAUAUCACGAAGAACUCCGAGUGCGAAGGCAGCUUGCUAAACUGCAACUGACGUUGAUGCUCGAAAGUGUGGGUAUCAAACAGGAUUAGAUACCCGUGUAGUC
rnacentral:rRNA from 1 species